UACGUAGGGGCCUAGCGUUGUCCGGAAUUACUGGGCGUAAAGGGCGCGUAGGCGGCCUUCUAAGUCGAACGUGAAAUCCCCGGGCUCAACCCGGGAACUGCGUCCGAUACUGGGAGGCUUGAAUCCGGGAGAGGGAUGUGGAAUUCCAGGUGUAGCGGUGAAAUGCGUAGAUAUCUGGAGGAACACCGGUGGCGAAGGCGGCAUCCUGGACCGGUAUUGACGCUGAGGCGCGAAAGCCAGGGGAGCAAACGGG
rnacentral:rRNA from 1 species